AGAGUUUGAUCCUGGCUCAGGACGAACGCUGGCGGCGUGCUUAACACAUGCAAGUCGAACGGAAAGGCCCUUCGGGGUGCUCGAGUGGCGAACGGGUGAGUAACACGUGGGUGAUCUGCCCUGCACUUUGGGAUAAGCCUGGGAAACUGGGUCUAAUACCGAAUAGGACUGCGCUCUUCAUGGGGUGUGGUGGAAAGCUUUUGCGGUGUGGGAUGGGCCCGCGGCCUAUCAGCUUGUUGGUGGGGUAAUGGCCUACCAAGGCGACGACGGGUAGCCGGCCUGAGAGGGUGACCGGCCACACUGGGACUGAGAUACGGCCCAGACUCCUACGGGAGGCAGCAGUGGGGAAUAUUGCACAAUGGGCGCAAGCCUGAUGCAGCGACGCCGCGUGAGGGAUGACGGCCUUCGGGUUGUAAACCUCUUUCAGCACAGACGAAGCGCGAGUGACGGUAUGUGCAGAAGAAGGACCGGCCAACUACGUGCCAGCAGCCGCGGUAAUACGUAGGGUCCGAGCGUUGUCCGGAAUUACUGGGCGUAAAGAGCUCGUAGGUGGUUUGUCGCGUUGUUCGUGAAAACUCACAGCUUAACUGUGGGCGUGCGGGCGAUACGGGCAGACUGGAGUACUGCGGGGGAGACUGGAAUUCCUGGUGUAGCGGUGGAAUGCGCAGAUAUCAGGAGGAACACCGGUGGCGAAGGCGGGUCUCUGGGCAGUAACUGACGCUGAGGAGCGAAAGCGUGGGGAGCGAACAGGAUUAGAUACCCUGGUAGUCC
rnacentral:rRNA from 1 species